rnacentral:pre_miRNA from 1 species
AAACCGCCUCCUAAGUUUUGCAACUAUAGCAGUUUUGGCCCCCCAAGGCUAAUUUUUGGUAAAAAAAAGAACAUGUGGCAUCUCACUUAGGGUGUCACGUCAGCGUAGACCGAGUCAAAAUUGGCCUUUGGAGCCAAAACUGCCACAGUUGCAAAAUUUAGGGGACAAUUU